rnacentral:rRNA from 1 species
GAUGAACGCUGGCGGCGUGCCUAAUACAUGCAAGUCGAGCGAACGGACGAGAAGCUUGCUUCUCUGAUGUUAGCGGCGGACGGGUGAGUAACACGUGGAUAACCUACCUAUAAGACUGGGAUAACUUCGGGAAACCGGAGCUAAUACCGGAUAAUAUUUUGAACCGCAUGGUUCAAAAGUGAAAGACGGUCUUGCUGUCACUUAUAGAUGGAUCCGCGCUGCAUUAGCUAGUUGGUAAGGUAACGGCUUACCAAGGCAACGAUGCAUAGCCGACCUGAGAGGGUGAUCGGCCACACUGGAACUGAGACACGGUCCAGACUCCUACGGGAGGCAGCAGUAGGGAAUCUUCCGCAAUGGGCGAAAGCCUGACGGAGCAACGCCGCGUGAGUGAUGAAGGUCUUCGGAUCGUAAAACUCUGUUAUUAGGGAAGAACAUAUGUGUAAGUAACUGUGCACAUCUUGACGGUACCUAAUCAGAAAGCCACGGCUAACUACGUGCCAGCAGCCGCGGUAAUACGUAGGUGGCAAGCGUUAUCCGGAAUUAUUGGGCGUAAAGCGCGCGUAGGCGGUUUUUUAAGUCUGAUGUGAAAGCCCACGGCUCAACCGUGGAGGGUCAUUGGAAACUGGAAAACUUGAGUGCAGAAGGGGAAAGUGGAAUUCCAUGUGUAGCGGUGAAAUGCGCAGAGAUAUGGAGGAACACCAGUGGCGAAGGCGACUUUCUGGUCUGUAACUGACGCUGAUGUGCGAAAGCGUGGGGAUCAAACAGGAUUAGAUACCCUGGUAGUCCACGCCGUAAACGAUGAGUGCUAAGUGUUAGGGGGUUUCCGCCCCUUAGUGCUGCAGCUAACGCAUUAAGCACUCCGCCUGGGGAGUACGACCGCAAGGUUGAAACUCAAAGGAAUUGACGGGGACCCGCACAAGCGGUGGAGCAUGUGGUUUAAUUCGAAGCAACGCGAAGAACCUUACCAAGUCUUGACAUCCUUUGACAACUCUAGAGAUAGAGCCUUCCCCUUCGGGGGACAAAGUGACAGGUGGUGCAUGGUUGUCGUCAGCUCGUGUCGUGAGAUGUUGGGUUAAGUCCCGCAACGAGCGCAACCCUUAAGCUUAGUUGCCAUCAUUAAGUUGGGCACUCUAAGUUGACUGCCGGUGACAAACCGGAGGAAGGUGGGGAUGACGUCAAAUCAUCAUGCCCCUUAUGAUUUGGGCUACACACGUGCUACAAUGGACAAUACAAAGGGCAGCGAAACCGCGAGGUCAAGCAAAUCCCAUAAAGUUGUUCUCAGUUCGGAUUGUAGUCUGCAACUCGACUACAUGAAGCUGGAAUCGCUAGUAAUCGUAGAUCAGCAUGCUACGGUGAAUACGUUCCCGGGUCU